AAAGACCGGUACAAGCGAGGUAGGAGAAGAGUUGGCAAAUCCGCUCUUUAAUCUGAAGACGUGAUGUGGACUGAAAAUAAGUAGGGAAGCACGUGAGCUGACUGUCAAGAAAAGCCGCUAUUGUUUGCAGGAUACCCGUACCGUAAACCGACACAGGUGAUGAGGAGAGAAUCCUAAGGCCUACGGGAGAAGCAUUGUUAAGGAACUCGGCAAAAUGACUCCGUAACUUCGGGAGAAGGAGUGCCAGUAAGAUGGCCGCAGAGAAUUGGCCCAAGCAACUGUUUAGCAAAAACACAGGUCUAUGCAAAACCGAAAGGUGAGGUAUAUGGGCUGACGCCUGCCCGGUGCUGGAAGGUUAAGGGGAGAGGUUAGCGCAAGCGAAGCUUUGAACUUAAGCCCCAGUAAACGGCGGCCGUAACUAUAACGGUCCUAAGGUAGCGAAAUUCCUUGUCGGGUAAGUUCGGACCCGCACGAAAGGCGUAAUGAUUUGGGCACUGUCUCAACAAUGCACCCGGUGAAAUUGAAAUACCAGUGAAGAUGCUGGUUACCUGCGCCAGGACGGAAAGACCCCAUGGAGCUUUACUCCAGCUUGAUACUGGGAUUCGGUAUUGCAUGUACAGGAUAGGUGGGAGGCUAGGAAACGGUAACGCCAGUUGCCAUGGAGCCAAUGUUGGGAUACCACCCUUGCAGUACUGGGUUUCUAACCAGCAGCCGUGAUCCGGCUGGGGGACAAUGUCAGGUGGGGAGUUUGACUGGGGCGGUCGCCCCCGAAAGGGUAUCGGAGGCGCUCAAAGGUUCCCUCAGAAUGGUUGGAAACCAUUCGAAGAGUGCAAAGGCAGAAGGGAGCUUGACUGCGACACCGACGGGUGGAGCAGGUACGAAAGUAGGACUUAGUGAUCCGGUGGUAUAAAGUGGGAUUGCCAUCGCUCAACGGAUAAAAGCUACCCUGGGAUAACAGGCUUAUCACUCCCAAGAGUUCACAUCGACGGAGUGGUUUGGCACCUCGAUGUCGGCUCAUCGCAUCCUGGGGCUGAAGUAGGUCCCAAGGGUUGGGCUGUUCGCCCAUUAAAGCGGUACGCGAGCUGGGUUCAGAACGUCGUGAGACAGUUCGGUCCCUAUCCGGCGUGGGCGUAAGAUAUUUGAGAGGAGCUGUCCUUAGUACGAGAGGACCGGGAUGGACUGGCCGCUGGUGUAUCUGUUGUCUUACCAAAGGCAUAGCAGAGUAGCCAAGCCGGGAAGGGAUAAACGCUGAAGGCAUCUAAGCGUGAAGCCCCCCUCAAGAUGAGAUAUCUCAUAACGUCAAGUUAGUAAGACCCCUUGAAGACGACGAGGUAGAUAGGGCAGAGGUGGAAGUGUGGUAACGCAUGGAGCUGACUGUUACUAAUAGGUCGAGGGCAUAACC
rnacentral:rRNA from 1 species